GACACUGUAGCUCAGGGGUUAGAGCACUGGUCUCAUAAACCAGAGGUUAUGAGUUCAAACCUCAUCAGCCUGUUU